ACGUGGUCUCCUUUCCAAUCUAAAGGCUUCCCUCACAACUCACAAGUCACAAGCUACCAAGAUAGAGAAAAAGAAGCGAUCAGAUGGAGAGGAAGAGAAUUCAAUUCGGCCAACAGCACCGCCACGGCACCACUAUCUUUCAUCCGCCAUCCCACUCGCAGGUGGCAGGAAUCUCGACUGCCGCCUCUCUUCGUCGCCGCCCAGCACCACUGCUCAAUGCGUCAUACCCUUGGCAGUAGCAGGGGCGUUCACGCAAAACCAAACAGCAGAUCCAUAAAUCUGAAUUGAUGAAGCCGGUAGCUCCUCCCUGUCGCCGUUCGAUUUUCGACUUCGAUCUUGGCCGGUGCAGUGAGCUCGCCAGCUCGCCGCUGGUUGACUGACCGGAGUUGUCGCGUCGCCACCAACUCCGAGCCUUUGACACGACGACAUUCAGAGGCAUCAAAGAGGUUGCAGCUGUCAGAAGCGAUGAUACUGGAAAAAAUGUCGUUGGUAUAUAUUUGUGUCUUCGAGAAUGUCUUAAAUGUUGAAAAUGUAAUUAAGAAGUCCAUAGGUGGAUUCAAUAAUUUGAAACAAUGGCCAGACAAGAAUCUUAUUUUCUGCACCUCGAAGAACUAAAAAGCUAUCUUGAUAAAUGUGAGAUGCCAUAAUGUGUCAUAA